rnacentral:lncRNA from 1 species
GGAGCUAAAUAACAUAUACAUAUGGAUGUAGAGAGUGGAAUGAUAGACACUGGAGACUUGAAAAUGUGGGAGGGUGGGAGAGAGAUGAGGGAUGAGAAAUUACCUGUUGAGCACAAUACAAUGUACAUUAUUUGGGUAAUGGGUACACUAAAAGCUCAGACUUUACCACUAUGCAAGGUAUCCAUGUAGUAAAAUUGCCCUUGUACUCCUGACUCCAUAAGUUUUUUUUUUGUUUGUUUGUUUUUGUUUUUUUUUUGUUUUUUUGAGAAAGAAAGAGAAAGAGAUUUGUUCCUAGUCAUUGAAAGGUGGAGGAAGCAGGGUAGGCUGCCCUUUCACCAUUGGGUUUCAGUUAGUUUCUUUCUUUUUCUUCUCUAAGGUAUGAAUUCUUAGCAUCCAAAAUAUCUAUAUUCAUCCCUAAAUUCAAAAAUGUGCCCAAAUCAAGUAUAUAUAUCUAUAUCUUUUUUUUUCUGAGACAGGGUCUCACUCUGUCACCCAGGCUGGAGUGCAGUGGCAUGAUCUAGGCUCAACUUCUUCCUUCUGGACUCAAGUGAUCCUCUCACCUCAGCCUCCCAAGUAGCUGGGACUACAGGUCACUUCCCACUGAGAGCUGGUUUACACCCAUUUCAAACACCAUCUCCAAACUGAUACCUUGACUACGAGAUCAAGUGUCCAGAAUGUAACAGAAGCUGCCUAAUAUUUGGUAGAAGAAGAAAGGGAAGAGGAGAAUUCAGAUGCUAAUGGAGAAGUUCCCAUGAUAGUUCAUGAAUGUCAGAGAGGCCCCAGACUUUCAAGUUUGCUUUACUCAUUUAAUGGAAAACUGAAAAGGAGAUGAAGAUUUAAGUCAUUUUCCCAAAGCCACACAGCGGGCUGAGUGUAGAGCCUGGGUGUUAACCAAGAAUCCCUCUGGUGAUUUUUCAAGAAACACCUGGCCUGGCAAGGAAGACGCUGCAUCACAAUGUGAGGGUGGUUUUUUUCUUCUCAGUCUUUGAGAGGUGUGAGAGUGUAAGAGGGGCCUGUGUGCGGUCUCUGGGACCACUACCCCCCUCAGUCAGACGCUCCUGAGACCCCUAAAGGCUGUUUCCAAUCUCUGUGGGGUGUGGCCAGAGAGAAUGCAUCCACCCUCAACUUCACCACUUACGGCAUUUGUAAAAAUUUAAGUGCAUCUGAAGGCUCUCCAGCUUGAAACCCUGCAGAGCGGGAUGAAGCUCCCUGAGGGCUGUGGAAGCUGCAGCGUCAUUUUGAUACACAGCGGUUCUUGGAAAAAAUACUGCAGCCUCAGCCGGUGGCCGCAGACUGCUGCUUCUUAAAUGACUCCCCUCUGCCUUAGGGUUAAUGUGUGAGUCCUUAAGGUGGCUCAGGAGGCUCAGAAGGCACCUGUGCAGUUCAGCUUCCUAACUCCUACCACACCGGAGCUGUUUAGUCUCUGUCGGUCUUGUCUCCUCCUGUACAAGCUCUGGGAAGGAAGGGACCAUGGUUUUCUUAUUUACAUCUUUGUCCCCAGAGCUCAGCAGAGUUCCUGACACCUGGCAGGUGAGCAAUUGUUGAUUGUUGGAAGAGUGAAUGAGAUCAAAUUACUUCUUCAGUUGACUGGAAUGUGGACAAAUGUCUCAAGUCAGGAGAACUUGAGGAAGCUCAGGUCACUUGCCAGGGUCAGACCAUAAUUUUGUGGGAAGGGAGCUUGACCCUGGAGGCCUUUGCUAUGCUUACUUUGUGUUCACAAGGAGAAAAUGGUUUGACAUGAGCAAAAGGAACAUUGAGACUGGAAUUUCUGGUUGAUUUAUAUAAGUAUGUGCAGAAGAAAUGACCAUCACAGUCUUUCCCCUUGUAGGUGGGCAAAAAUUGGCCUUAGUUUCUACUCAUUUCUUGGAACAGAAUUACAUCUCAUCUCCUUGGCUGUUUAAGCUGGGGAUGGGCUCAAUAUUUAUCCCCCAAAAGGUGAAAAGCACCUGCUGCAAGCCAUUAACCACAUCCAGUGACAGAACUCAUGCACCUGCUGCUCCCCACCCUUGAGGGUGCCCAUCUUUGCUCAAAUUGAAACUACCCAGGUGAAACAAACACAACAGCCCUUUAUGUUGUGAUUUACUUCAGAUGUUCGCAGGGAAGCAGUAGGUAGGCCUAUGAUAUCUGGGAUCCAUUAGAUGGCUGUAUUGCAUUUCUUUCCAUUAACAAAUGUUUCUUCUCCCAAUGCAAGGGGUGAGCUCCGUUGCUCCCCAGAGUCAGCCUCUAGACUGUGUGGGGAACAAACAUUAGGAAAACCAAAGUGAGGCUUUCUAUCUUAUAUCUGUAUGGAGCACUGUGGUAUUCUGGGCUUAUCACCCUUCCCUGUCAGGGAGUGGGAAGAUGUGCUGGAACUUUCCCCUGGAACACAGCUGGAGUCCAGCUUGUUGGCUUCCAGACAAUGUGGAGACAGCGUGGCCUGAGGCAGAGGCACUGAGCUUGUUGUCCGGAGACCCAGUUUCUGUUUCACCUCUCACACUAAUUUGGAUUAAUGAGAUUGUAUUGUAUGUCCUAAGUUUUUCCUCCCUCUCCACUCUUGCCAUUGUUCACUGGGGGUAAGGUAUCUUUUCUGGUCCAUUGGCUUUGGCCUUGGUCAGUUGACUUGCUUUGGCCAAUGGAAGGUGGAUAUGACAGGUUGCUAGUUACAAGCUGAGGCUCUAAGGGCUGUCACUGCUUAUUUCUCUUCUGCUUUUGCCAGUGCCAUGAGAAGAACUUGCCCUGGGUGGCUGCUGUAGCCUCCAGAUAAGAUGAGUCCCCAAGUACUACUGGUCAACCUGCACACUUGUGAGCAGAAGCAAAUGUUUGCUGUUGUAAACCACUAAGUUUUGGAAUUGUUUGGUACUUGACAUUUGUAUUAGUUCAUUUUCAUGUUGCUGAUAAAGACAUACCUGAGACUGGGAAGAAAAAGAGGUUUAAUUGGUCUUACAGUUCCACAUGGCUGGGGAGGCCUCAGAAUCAUGGCAGGAGAUGAAAGGCACUUUUUACAUGGUAGCGGCAAGAGAAAAUGAGAGAGAUGGAAAAGCGGAAACCCCUGAUAAACCCAUCGGAUCUCAUGAGAUUUAUUCACUAUCAAGAGAAUAGCAUGGGAAAGACCAGCCCCCAUGAUUCAAUUACCUCCCCCUGGGUGCCUCCCACAACAUGUGGGAAUUCUGGGAGAUACAAUUCAAGUUGAGAUUUAGGUGGGGACACAGCCAAACCACAUCAACAUUAUUGAAGCAAUAUUUGAUUGACGUAAAGAUUUCAAGUUCCUUAAUGUUUGAAUUUUUCUAUUUUUGAUCUGAGGUAUGAUUUGCAUACUAUAAAGUAAAAUGAAGAAAUUUUACUAUUCUUACUGUUUGAUGAGUUUUGACAAGGUUCCACAUUCAUGACCACCAUCCCCAACAAGCUAUUGACCAUUUUCUAUCACUCCAGCAAAUCCCUUCAUGCCCCUUUCUAGCAAUUCUACCUCCCCCUCUCUAGAGGCAACUGUUUUUUAAUUUCUAUCACUAGCUUAGUUUGCCCAUUCUUGAGUUUCCUAUAAAUGGCAUCACACAAUGCAAUCUCUUUGCAUUUGGCUUCUUUUGAUCAAUGUGAUGUUUUUUGAGAUUCAUUCAUGUUGUGUGUCUCAGUAGUUUGUUCUUUUUAUUGCUGACUAGCAUUCCAUUGCAUGAACAUCCACAAUUUGUUUACAUGUUUACCUGGUGAUAGACGUUUGGGUUGUUUCCAGAUUUUGGCUACUAUGAAUAAAGCUGCUUUGUUUUCAGCAGAUGUUUUCUUUCCUCCUUGGUAAAUACCUGAAAAUGGUAUUAUUGGGUUAUAAGGCAAAUUGUUUUCCAAACUGGUUAUGAUAUAUUACCUCCAAUCAACAAUUUAUUAGAGUUUCAGUUCCUUCACAUCCUUGCCUUGUGGAUUUUAGCUCUUCCAGUAGGUGUAGAGUGACAUUUCACUGCGUUUUUAAUUUUCAUUUCCCUGAUGAGUAAUGGUGGUGAGAAUCUUUUCAUGUGUUUAUUGGGCAUUGUUGUAUCUUCCUUUAUGAUGUGUCUAUUUAAGUCUUUUGUGCAUAUCUUAAAUUGGAUUUUUUUCUGUUUUCUUAUUGAGUUGUAAGAGAUUUUGAUAUGUUUUCUAUAUAAGUCCUUUAUCACGUAUAAACCUUGUAAAUCUUUUUGCCUAGAUCUCUGAUUAGGAUUGUAGAUUUGACUAUUUCUUCCUUCAGUUGUGUUAGUUUUUGCUUAAUAAACUAAUGUAUUUUGAAGAACUGUUAUUUGAUGCAUAAUUUGAGAUUAUGUCUUCUGGAUGAAUUUCUUCUUUCAUCAUUGUGAAACGUCCUUUCUUAUCUCUUGUGAUACUUUCUGCUUUAAAAUUUACUUUAUCUGAUACUAAUAUUAUAGCCAGCUUUCCUUUGCUUUAAGUUUACUUGUUAGAUCCUUUUCCCACCUUACAUUUUCAAUCUGUUUGUGUCUUUAUAUUUAGAGGAUUCUCUUAGACCACAAAUAUUAAAUAGUUGGAUCUUACUUUUUGUUUUGUCAGUCUCUGCCUUUCAAUGGUCUUUUCUUCCCACUUAAAUUUAAUGUAAUUAUUAUUGUUGUUGAGUUUAUGUCUAUUGCCUUGAUAUUCAUUUUUAUUCUCUCACCUUUUUUGCUUUUUGCUUUGCUUCUCAUUUCCUGUCAUCUUUUGGAUAAAUGAAGUUUUUUCCCCC